GACGAACCGAGCGAACGUUAUUCGGAAUAACUGGGCUUAAAGGGUGCGUAGGCGGGCUGUCAAGUCUGGGGUGAAAUCCGGCAGCUUAACUGUCGAACUGCCUUAGAUACUGAUGGCCUCGAGGAAGGUAGGGGCAUGCGGAACUGUAGGUGGAGCGGUGAAAUGCGUUGAUAUCUACAGGAACUCCGGUGGCGAAAGCGGCGUGCUGGACCUUUUCUGACGCUGAGGCGCGAAAGCUAGGGGAGCAAACGGG
rnacentral:rRNA from 1 species